GAAACACUGCCAAGGGAGUCCACAAAAAAACAAGUCCGCUGCGGCCGCUCUGGCGACUCGGGCCUCCUGCUCUUACAGAACGGACCAUCACGGCACACUGCUUGCUAUCUCGACUCAGAAGCAAAGAAUCUUCUGGCCUCUCCAGGAGGCAUGCCCAAGGGGACCCGCGGCCCUUAAAAUCCUGAACUCUCACGGGAUUCCUGCGGAGGCGAACAGCCGCGCUCCAAGGCACAGCUGCGGUUUGAAACCACCACCGAUUCUCAGCGGUGCUGCAGAGGACACACCCAGGCCUUACUGGAGGGACAGGACUCGGACAGGUGACACAGUGCCCGGAAAGCACAGGUCCUUUAGGAGCAAAGCAGUGAGGCCCCAAGUCCCGCCAAGCCAGGGACAACGGGGAGGUGGCAGUGGCAGUGCUCACCUGGGUUCCGGCACCCAUCACUGCCAGGCCAGCGGCCCCAGGUGGCCACUACCACGACUGGUGGUGUCAUUCCUGGGAGCAGCUGCAGCGGUGACCCUCUGGGGGGGGGUGGGGAGGGAAGCCCCGGGGACAGUCUUCAAGCCUCGGACUGGGCAGGGACCUCCUCAUCCUCCCCAGCGGUUUGGAAAACCAGUUAAGUUAUCAGCAUCAUUUGAAAUGAGAAAGCUGAGGCGGGCUCGGGGGGCACAGCAGGUGUGCUGUCUGGACGUGAACUCAAGCAGCGGCGGCAUCUGGUCCCGGCCACACUAGUGGCGUCUGGACAGCAGCUCCACGGAUGCGUUUCUCGGUUUCGUUUAGCGUUUUCAGUUUGUGGUUUUGCAGGGCCAGAACUAAGUGAACUUGCAACUGUCUGCAAAGGAAAAACGGGGCCUGGAGUCUACACCCUUCACCUCUAGGUAAUCAGGAAGGUCACCCCGAACAAGAAAAAGGGAGUGGGUGGGCACAGGGGUGGCUCAUAAAGGUCACAAAAUUGUUGAAUCUUCUUUAGGCACGAUGAUGCUAUUGCUGCUGUAUUUCUAAAUGUAGUCUUUAUCCUUCGGGAAUCUACAGGGAAGGAUUUACCCAGGCACCGAGGCGACAGCCAGGGUGUGCCCUACAAGAGCCUGGUGGGAUGUGCGGGGGGUGCACACGCCAUGAGAGAGGCCAUCAGCUGCCGAGUGCCCGAGCUGGCUGACGGGGACGUGGGUGUUGAGCACGCAAUUUUCUCUGCUUCUGUAGAUUUGAAAAUUUCUGCGUGCGUGUGUGUGCGUGUGUGUGUGUUUUAAUGCUCCCCUUCUGUAGAAUGGGGACGGUGUCAUCUACUUCGCAGGCUGCUGUGGGCAUCGCCAGCCCCGCUCUGGUGGAUGUUGUUAGUGACGCGCUGCGUACCAUGCAGCCUCCUGGCGGCCCCGAGGGGGACGGCGUGGACGCAGCUGUGCUCCGCGGAGGGUUCUGGGGUCCCACACGGCAGCCGGGGACCCAAAGGGGGCCUCCCACAGCAGCACCGGGCAUACACCACGCUGGCAGCAGCCCCUGCCUGGACUGGCACCACACAGACCCACGGCGGUGGAAGCAAGAAGAACAGUGAGCAAAUGAUCACAUCACCCCUCUCCUUCCGAAGAGAUCUGGAAAGCUAAUUAUGCGUUUCUCCCAGCACAUCUUUAUUUCUGAUGUGGAACCAGCGAGGUGGAUAGCUCUAGUGGGGAGAAACAUCAUACUUAAGAGAACUCCGGUAAUUUGUUCAUCCGUAAGCCACGGCGUGCAAGCAUGCGUGGUGUGCACACGUCACGAGGCCCUUCGUGUGCCGAUGGCGGUGACCGUCUGCUCUGAGCCUGGCUUCGGCCACGUGAGGAACCAGCAAGAGGGGACAGGGCACUGCGUGCCAGCAAUGCCAAUCCCCUCGCAGGCCUCACCGAUCCUUCCUCGCUGCCGCAAAGCUACCACGCUCCUCUCGCCCUACACAAAAACCAGGGUAAAAUUCUAGGCCUCUGGCUCUCCGCCAGGAGUUAACAAUUAAUUGCCACAUAAAAUUGCUGAUUCCUACCAAAUGAAGCUCUACGAUUUAUCAACUCACGGACGGCGCAAACUCAAUAGUGCUUCAACUUCAUCACCCGAGCUAUUGCUGUGCUCGGGAUCAGGGACAGCUUUAUUGGGAAUGAAAGUUUUGCCAAUUCAGCCAGGUGGGACAAACUUCCAGAGGAAACAAAGGCAUUAAGCAGACACACAGAGCUCCCCGCAGCUCUCAUCCAAGAUCUCAAGGCCAAGAGAGCGUCUGGAAGACAAAGGUUCCCUAAAACCAGGCCUGGGGUGGGGGCCCCAGGAUGUUCACCUGCGGCAGAGUCCCAUACCCCACUCUCAGGCCACGGCACCACGGUAUGUACAGUUAGGGCACUGCUCUCCGACACCCCAAACUUUAGAGCCCACUGUAAUUUAAUUAACCAACCCUGCCAUUCCUGUAGGAGCCCAGUUAUUUAAAAUGCAUUAAAAAAAAA